UGGGGAAUAUUGCACAAUGGAGGGAACUCUGAUGCAGCGACGCCGCAUGAACGAAGAAGGCUUUCGAGUCGUAAAGUUCUUUAUAUGGGAAGAUAAUGACGGUACCAUAAGAAAAAGCCCCGGCUAACUACGUGCCAGCAGCCGCGGUAAUACGUAGGGGGCUAGCGUUGUCCGGAAUCACUGGGCGUAAAGGGUUCGCAGGCGGAAAUGCAAGUCAGGUGUAAAAGGCAGUAGCUUAACUACUGUAAGCAUUUGAAACUGCAUAUCUUGAGAAGAGUAGAGGUAAGUGGAAUUUUUAGUGUAGCGGUGAAAUGCGUAGAUAUUAAAAAGAAUACCGGUGGCGAAGGCGACUUACUGGGCUCAUUCUGACGCUGAGGAACGAAAGCGUGGGUAGCAAACAGG
rnacentral:rRNA from 1 species